ACGGGAGGCAGCAGUGGGGAAUAUUGCACAAUGGGCGCAAGCCUGAUGCAGCGAUGCCGCGUGAGGGAAGAAGGUUUUCGGAUUGUAAACCUCUGUCAACAGGGACGAAAAUGACGGUACCUGUGAAGGAAGCUCCGGCUAACUACGUGCCAGCAGCCGCGGUAAUACGGAGGAUGCAGGCGUUAUCCGGAUUUAUUAGGUUUAAAGGGUGCGCAGGCGGGACAUUAAGUCGGUGGUGAAAUACCGUGGCCCAACCACGGGGCUGCCAUCGAUACUGAUGACCUUGAGUGCGUGUGACGUAGGCGGAAUGUGGAGUGUAGCGGUGAAAUGCUUAGAUAUUCCACAGAACACCGAUUGCGAAGGCAGCCUACGAAUGCGUAACUGACGCUCAUGCACGAAAGCGCGGGUAGCGAACAGGAUUAGAUACCCUGGUA
rnacentral:rRNA from 1 species